rnacentral:misc_RNA from 1 species
CGUAUUUCCUGGUCUGGGGUUGUCUUCAAUAACACCUAAUUCUUACAAAGUUCGUGAGAGGAAGGUUUAAUCUUUUAUUAUUAUUGGGCUUAUUUUCUAGGGUUCUAGGACUUGGAGUAGAAAUUUUUUAAGAUUGUCUUUCAUUACAUUUGAAAUAUAAUGAAUAAUAUGUUGAUUACAACCUGAAAUAGAUAUUGAAAUAGAAUUGUUAUAAUUCUUCUUUUGCAAUAACUGAG